CCUGCUUAAGUUCGUCACGAGUAGCUGAGGUUAUUCCGGAGGGCGCGAACUUUAAUCGGAAUUCUCCGGGCGUUAAAGCGCAUCCAGGGCGAUUCAUUAAGUCGGUUGAGAAAGCGCCGGGUCUCACCCUGGGAAUCCCCUUUAAAACUUGUGACCUAGAGUCCUGUAGAGAGGGGUAGAAUUCUCAGGUGUAGCGUUGAAAUGGGUAGAGAUCUGCAGGGAAUCCCAGUGGCGAAGGCGGCCCCCGGGUCAGAUACUGACAUUCAGAUGCGAAAGCGUGGGGAGCAAACAGGAUUAGAUACCCUGGUAGUCCACGCCGUAAACGAUGUCUCCUUGGAGGUUGUGGCCUUGAGCCCUGGCUUUCGGAGCUACCGCGUUAAGUAGACCGCCGGGGGAGUACGGUGGCAAGAUUAAACCUCAAUUGAAUUGACGCGGGCUCGCCCAAGCGGUGGAGCAUGUGGUUUAAUUCGAUGCAACGCGUAGAUCCUUACCUACUCUUGACAUCCAGAGAAGCCAGUGGAGACACAGGUGUGCCUUCGGGAGCUCUGAGACAGGUGCUGCAUGGCUGUCGUCAGCUCGUGUUGUGAAAUGUUGGGUUAAGUCCCGCAACGAGCGCAACCCUUAUCCUUGUUUGCCAGCGAGUAAUGUCGGGAACUCCAGGGAGACUGCCGGUGAUAAUCCGGAGGAAGGUGGGGACGACGUCAAGUCAUCAUGGCCCUUACGAGUAGGGCUACACACGUGCUACAAUGGCGCAUACAAAGGGCAGCAAGCUAGCGAUAGUGGGCGAAUCCCAAAAAGUGCGUCGUAGUCCGGAUUGGAGUCUGCAACUCGACUCCAUGAAGUCGGAAUCGCUAGUAAUCGUGAAUCAGAAUGUCACGGUGAAUACGUUCCCGGGCCUUGUACACAUCGCCCGUCACACCAUGGGAGUGGGCUGCAAAAGAAGUGGGUAGUUUAACCUUUCGGGGAGGACGCCAGCCUUC
rnacentral:rRNA from 1 species